rnacentral:rRNA from 1 species
UACGUAGGGGGCUAGCGUUGUCCGGAAUCAUUGGGCGUAAAGCGCGUGUAGGCGGUCCGGUAAGUCCGCUGUGAAAGUCGGGGGCUCAACCCUCGAAUGCCGGUGGAUACUGUCGGGCUAGAGUGCGGAAGAGGCGAGUGGAAUUCCUGGUGUAGCGGUGAAAUGCGUAGAUAUCAGGAGGAACACCGGUGGCGAAGGCGGCUACCUGGACAGAAACUGACGCUGAGGCACGAAAGCUAGGGGAGCAAACAGG